UACAGAGGUCCCAAGCGUUGUUCGGAUUCACUGGGCGUAAAGGGCUCGUAGGCGGCCAACUAAGUCAGACGUGAAAUCCCUCAGCUUAACUGGGGAACUGCGUCUGAUACUGGAUGGCUUGGAUUCGGGAGAGGAAUGCGGAAUUCCAGGUGUAGCGGUGAAAUGCGUAGAUAUCUGGAGGAACACCGGUGGCGAAGGCGGCAUUCUGGACCGACAUUGACGCUGAGGAGCGAAAGCCAGGGGAGCAAACGGG
rnacentral:rRNA from 1 species